rnacentral:rRNA from 1 species
UAAGAAUUUAAAAGUCGAACAGACUUAUUAUUAAGAAUGCUGCUUCUUAAAAUUUUCUUAAUUCAACAUCGAGGUCGCAAAAUACAAUAUAGAUAUGAACUCCCCAUUAAAAUUACGCUGUUAUCCCUAAGGUAACUUUAUCUUGUUAUCCCUCCAAGGAUCUAAAAUUACAUAUAUAAAUGAUUAUCAAAACUAAAGUUAAUUAUUUAGUCACCACCCCAGUAAAAUAUAAACAAACAUUAAAAAAUAUACUAAUAAAAAUCAUUAAUCUAAUAUUAUAUAAAGUUCUAUAGGGUCUUAUCGUCCCAAUAAAUUAAUAAAGCAUUUUAACUUUAAAUUUAAAUUCUAAUAUUUAAAAAAAUAUAAUAUAAUUCUCAUACAUCCAUUCAUACAAGCUUUCAAUUAAAAAACUAAUUACUAUGCUACCUUUGCACAGUCAAAAUACUGCAGCCAUUUAGAAAUUAAACCAUAGGGCAGAAGAUACUUUUCAUAAAAACA